AACGCUGGCGGCGUGCCUAAAACAUGCAAGUCGAACGAGGUAGCAAUACCUAGUGGCGAACGGCGGAGUAACACAUAAACAACGUGCCCCGAAGACUGGGAUAUACAGCUGAAAAGCUGGGCAAUACCGGAUGUGGCAGCGUCUCGGCAUCGAGAUGCUAUCAAAUGGUUUUUCGCUUUGGGAGCGGUUUAUGGCCUAUCAGGUAGUUGGUGGGGUAAUGGCCUACCAAGCCGACGACGGGUAGCGGGUCUGAGAGGAUGAUCCGCUCGAGUGGGACUGAGACACGGCCCACACACCUACGGGUGGCAGCAGUUGGGAAUCUUGCACAAUGGGGGAAACCCUGAUGCAGCGACGCCGCGUGGAGGAUGACGGAUCUAGGUCUGUAAACUCCUUUUUCAUGGAAAGACUUAGGACGGUACCAUGAGAAUAAGGACCGGCUAACUACGUGCCAGCAGCCGCGGUAAGACGUAGGGUCCAAGCGUUGUCCGGAUCUACUGGGCGUAAAGAGCGCGUAGGCGGUCUUGUAAGUGUGAAGUGAAAUCUCCAGGGCUCAACCCGGAAACUGCUUCGCAUACUGCAAGACUAGAGGGAUGCAGAGGUAUGUGGAAUUCCUGGUGUAGCGGUGAAAUGCGUUGAUAUCAGGAGGAACACCCAUGGCGAAGGCAGCAUACUGGGCAUCAUCUGACGCUGAGGCGCGAAAGCGUG
rnacentral:rRNA from 1 species